GGGCGAUUAACUCAGCUGGUAGAGUGCUACCGUCACAUGGUAGAAGCCGUGGGUUCAAGUCCCCCAUCGCCCACCA
rnacentral:tRNA from 1 species